rnacentral:sRNA from 1 species
GUCAAGGGAAAUGAGUGACUGCACUUCCUUGCUAGAAACUCCAAACAAGCUCUCAAGGUCCAUUUGUAGAAGAAUGUCCAAUAGUCAAGC